GAGUUUGAUCGUGGCUCAGGACGAACGCUGGCGGCGUGCUUAACACAUGCAAGUCGAACGGAAAGGCCCUGCUUUUGUGGGGUGCUCGAGUGGCGAACGGGUGAGUAACACGUGAGUAACCUGCCCUUGACUUUGGAUAACUUCAGGAAACUGGGGCUAAUACCGGAUAGGAGCUCCUGCUGCAUGGUGGGGGUUGGAAAGUUUCGGCGGUUGGGGAUGGACUCGCGGCUUAUCAGCUUGUUGGUGGGGUAGUGGCUUACCAAGGCUUUGACGGGUAGCCGGCCUGAGAGGGUGACCGGCCACAUUGGGACUGAGAUACGGCCCAGACUCCUACGGGAGGCAGCAGUGGGGAAUAUUGCACAAUGGGCGGAAGCCUGAUGCAGCAACGCCGCGUGCGGGAUGACGGCCUCGGUUGUAA
rnacentral:rRNA from 1 species